GACGAAGGGGGCUAGCGUUGUUCGGAAUUACUGGGCGUAAAGCGUGUGUAGGUGGUUGUCAUAGUCAGGUGUGAAAGCCUUGAGCUCAACUCAAGAAAUGCACUUGAUACUGGGCAGCUAGAGGACCGGAGAGGAUAGUGGAAUUCCUGGUGUAGCGGUGAAAUGCGCAGAUAUCGGGAGGAACACCUAUGGCGAAGGCAGCUCGCUGGGACGUUACUGACGCUGAGACGCGAAAGCGUGGGGAGCAAACAGG
rnacentral:rRNA from 1 species